GUGGACAUUAAUUGUAGAUCAUUAAUAGAAUUUAGUUUUUAUAGAAAUAGGAAAAACCGUAAAAAAUUGACUUUAGUGAAAUUGGAAGAGAAAAAAACAAGAAAGCAACCUUGCAAGACGUAGGGUACUUAAUGGGGCUCACAUCAUAAAACAUUGCGAUGUCUUGUUCAUGUGUGGGAUGCAGUUUUAGCGAAAUUAGAGAAUGUGGUUGAAGAUGCCACUGUUGGAGGAAAAGAGCACCAUGUGUUCAGGUUUGUUGUUGCAAAUACAGAAUUAUCGUUGAAAUAAACUAAUGAUUCAUCACAUUGCCUUCAAAGGUUUCGUGAAAACAUUUUUUAAGCUAUAAGAUUUGAUUGGGAUGCAAAAAAAAAAAUUAGACAAAAAUUGAGGCGGUUGGUAAGAGAUAUAUAUUUGAAGAGGUAAAGAAGUAUUGUGUCUCACAUCACAUCAUUAUAUCAAACAUGAAGGACACAAUAACUAUUAGGGUUGUUCAAGUGAUUGCGGAGGGCAAGAGGUAACCUAUUGUCUCAUCAUUUUAAAUAUGAAUUAUUUUAAUAUGGUGCAUGACCGAAUUACUAUUAGAUUAAAAAAUUAUUUUGAUGAAAACUUUUACUUUAUAUUAAAAUGGUCACUUGUCUAGAUCCAAGGAAUUCUUGUGCCACCUUGAAUGAAGUGAAAUUAAGUGUAAUUCAACUUUGAUGAGAUGUAUGAUGUUGACUUAUCCUAUUAUCAGUAUGUUGUCUUUAGGAACCAACAUGGCAAUUUCAUUACUUGUGUCAAAGAUAAAAUUGUUGUCUCACAAGUUCUAGUGACUUUGGC
rnacentral:lncRNA from 1 species